rfam:Schistocephalus solidus strain NST_G2 genome assembly, scaffold: SSLN_scaffold0004065
GGCCUCGUAGCUCAGUUGGCUAGAGCGUUGGCUGUACUAAAACAUUCCCCUUGCUAUCGUGGGUUCGAAUCCCACCGAGGCCA